CUCCCGGCAGCCCUUUCGCUCGGAGCAACACAAAAUGGCAGCGCUCGCGUCGACCUGCCGCUUUUCCGUCAGAGAAACGGACAGACAGCGGUUUUCCUCUUGAUCGGCAGCGUGCACGUGAAUGUCGCCAGGUGGCGGUACUUGCUGCCCUGGCGACGUCCUGGCCGCGCGGUGGCCACGAUCAGCGAGGGGGAAGGUGUCGGAAGGGGGGGGGGGUCAGCCGUCUGUGGGCACCGGGCGCAGGUCUCUGCGCGGCGCUCGCUUGGCGCGUCACCGCGCGCUGGCCGCCGGGAACCGGGCACGAUUUCGCGAGACCCUCUCCGCUCACGUGCUUCCCGGAAGUGCCGCGCGUCGGAAACCUCGUGCGGCGCUCGGGCCGGAGCUGUUCCCGCACAGUCACGUGACGGCAGGCGUUGGCCACAGUUUCAGGCUGUGGCUGUGUUAGGGACGCUCGCAGGACGUUGCAAGACCACGUCUUCCGAAAACGAGGAUCGCUCGGUCUGUGAAGAAAACUUUCGGGACACAAGCAUGUACCGAAGGCGCCAUGAAACACGACCGGAUGGAUUCAGCGUAAAAAGUCAUCUGUUUGGAGGGACCCUGCCAUCGGUGUCAUUCUGGGAAGCCGAGCGAGGCGCGACAAUUGGGAGGCGUACGUGUAACGCUGGCGUCACAACAGUUUCAGCCGCUGUUUUCAGGUGCCUGCCCGGCUUCUGUUCUGUCCUGCUUCCUACGCUGUUCCACGACAGGAAGUCAGAAGAAAAUGGGCCUCAAGACCACGUUUGGCUUAUAUGCCGCGGAGAGGACUCCUCAAUCUGGACAUUUAUUCAGAUUUUCAGAUAAGAGCCAGGCCCUGUGCCUUUCUGUCUCCUCAGAGUCACAGUUGAUAUUAAAAACUACUUGACAGCAAAGGAAA